rnacentral:lncRNA from 1 species
AGGGGACCCAGCUCCCCAACCGUCCGCAGAGCAAGGUAAUGCCUUUUGUCUGCCCGCCAGCACUGCCUGGGCGGUAGCUCCCCGCCAAGGGACAGGGAAAGGGAGGAGGGGACCUCAGGCUAAAGUCCCUGCCUGAGAAUCGAAUGGGGAUUCUCCCUGUAUCCUCUGGAUCAGCACUUCCCAAUGCCGCAUGCAGAUUCCAAGUAUCUAGGGAGCUCUGAGCAGUGGCCCAAGCCUAGCGGGACAAGGUGAUUUGGACCUAGCUGCCAGGGUAAAGAAUAGUCCUGUUCAGAUGAUAUAGGCUUUCCGAUUUUGUAACUGCACCGUGGGUAGGUAAGAGCCUCUUGUUAUUAGAAACAUACGCAUUUAGGGUAAAAUGAGAGUCAUUUUUUGGUGGGGGUGUUAAGGAUUGAACCUAGGUCCUCGUGCAUGUGAGGCAAGCACUCUACCAACUGAGCUCUGUUUCCAGCCCCCACCUCCAAUCAUGUUUUUAACUUAUUUUUCAAUGGUUCAGAAACACAGAUGCAGAAACAUCUGUGGAAGGAUAAUAAAGCAAAUGGGGUCAAAUCACUAGUAAAUCUGGGCAAAAGGUAUAUGAAUACAAUUUGGAUCAUUCUCCAACUUUUCUACACCUUUGAAAUUAUAUCCAAAUAAAAUGCUAAACAACAAUGAAACAAAAAUCCAAAAUAUGACUGCAGAAACAACAAUGCCAGGCCACCCCCAGAGAUUCCCCAAUCCCUUGCUUGGGAUGACCAGGGGUAAGUGGUGGGGAUAGGGGCAAGGCUUCUGGCACCAUAAAGCAGAUUCAGAACCUCAGGAAGGCUCCCGACAGGUGGCUGGUGCAGGGGUUUAAAUGCUUAAGCAUCAGUUGCUAGGACCAAGAGGCAAGCAUUCCAGGAAUGUGAUUAGGUGUGGAGAGGUAUCACCAGGGUGGUAGAGGCCUUGGAGAACUCACCUUGAGUUCAAGAACCUCAUUUUUUUUUUUUUUGUUUUGUUUUAUUUGCAAUGGGAAUUGAACACAGGGGCAUUUAGCCACUGAGUACAUCCCCAGACUCCCCCCACCCCCACCCCAGUUUGGUUUGUGUUUUUAGAGACAGGGUCUUGCUGAGUAGCUGAGUUGCUUUGGGCCUCGUUAAGUGGCUGAGGCUAGCUUUGAACUCGUGAUCCUCCUGCCUCAUCCUCCAGCGUUGCUGGGACUACAGGCUUGCACCAUACCCAAGCAGCCUUCUUGACUGCUCUGGCUUCCCCCUCUCUCUGCUCUGAAGUCCUACAGGCCCCAGUCUCACUAGUUUGGACUGCUCUGUGGCUGCCCUUCUGUCCACCAUGGAUGAGUGUGCCCUGUCUUCUUCUCCCGUUUUUCUUCUCUCUUCUCUUCAGCAUAGAGCUUGGUGCAGGGGAAUCUUUGUGGGGGAAACUGAGGAAGAACUGACCAGAACUACUUUUUCAUUUGAAGGUGACAGGGUGGAAACCCCAUCCCAAGUCCUGGGACAGGAAAUGGCUUUACUGACCCCAACCAGAUGGGCUUGGUCAGAGAGGGCUCCCUGAAGCAGGUCCUGGGGCUCAGCAGGACUUGGAGGGAUGGGUGGGCCCAGAAAGAGUUGAUGAGCCAGCCAAAGGUCAGACAGUUCUGUUGAGCCCAUGGGUGGGUCAUCUCUUUGGGCUGCCUCACAGUGACAGCAAAGGCUGUGCCCUUAAGGCCAACCUUGAAGCCUGCAGGGGGCGCUGAAAGGGUGGGGAGGAGAGCUGGGAGUAGCCAUCUGUGAUGGGCGUGAG